GGUGGCCUAACCCUUUGGGAGGGAGCCGUCGAAGGUGGGAUCGGCGAUUGGGACGAAGUCGUAACAAGGUAGCCGUACCGGAAGGUGCGGCUGGAUCACCUCCUUUCUAAGGAG
rnacentral:rRNA from 1 species